AGUGAACGCUGGCGGUAGGCCUAACACAUGCAAGUCGAACGGCAGCACAGUAAGAGCUUGCUCUUACGGGUGGCGAGUGGAGGACGGGUGAGGAAUACAUCGGAAUCUACUUUUUCGUGGGGGAUAACGUAGGGAAACUUACGCUAAUACCGCAUACGACCUACGGGCGAAAGCAGGGGAUCUUCGGACCUUGCGCGAUCGAAUGAGCCGAUGUCGGAUUAGCUAGUUGGCGGGGUAAAGGCCCACCAAGGCGACGAUCCGUAGCUGGUCUGAGAGGAUGAUCAGCCACACUGGAACUGAGACACGGUCCAGACUCCUACGGGAGGCAGCAGUGGGGAAUAUUGGACAAUGGGCGCAAGCCUGAUCCAGCCAUACCGCGUGGGUGAAGAAGGCCUUCGGGUUGUAAAGCCCUUUUGUUGGGAAAGAAAAGCAGCAGGUUAAUACCCCGCUGUUCUGACGGUACCCAGAGAAUAAGCACCGGCUAACUUCGUG
rnacentral:rRNA from 1 species